rnacentral:tRNA from 1 species
GUGAGCGGUGGAUGGGGUUGAUGUGUAUCGGCCAUUCUACGGAAGUGGAUCAGGCCAGGUCGUCGGCGGGUCGGCGGUGCGGGCCGGUUCGGACGCCCC